ACUUGACCCUGGAUAUUUUUGGCUAAAAUUAUACGACAAGAAGAUAAAGAUGCCAGCCAGGAUUCGGGUCGGAUAGGGUUUAUUUAGUUAGUGCGCAAUGCAUUGGGGACCCUCCCCACUGGUUCAGUUAUUAUUAGGGUUUUGAAAGGCCAAAUUCGCCGCCGCCGUCGUUCCCCUCCAUCGUCAAAAAGUUUCGCCGUUUCUGAUGGUCUAUUGUUUUUCCGGCUUGGCCACUUAUUAUCGGCUUUCUUGUUUGGUUUCAGGCAACGGUUUUUGUUCUCUGUUUUAGUUCAAUUUCCCAAUCAUAGCACAUCUGUCCACUCACUGCGCCGUAGUUUCCUGGAGCCAUCAGAAGGCAUCGCCCAGAGGUGGUUCGUCAGGAUGUUGAAUUCAACAAGUGCAGCGAGAAAGGAGGUCUAGUUUGACGUCCUUGUAUAUUUGAGCAUUUUUUUGGCGUCUUUAUAUCAUCUGAUAUGAUGUCGAUUUGAGGCUUAGAAAGCCUCGGCUGUGGAAAACGCAAAGAAUAAGAAAAUAUAGUUGGAAGAGAGUCUAAUUGAAUUUGCCUAAUUAGGCCUAAAACGUGCUCAUGAUAGUGCAUAUUUGAAACUUGAUAAAAUGAAUUUGUUAUCUUCAAAAACGCAGUUGCUACUAAACAGAAAUUUCUUUUUAAAAUUGUUAGGAAAACAUUGGUUUCUGGAGGUCCGAAUUCCAUGUAGCUGACCUCACCUAGUGGGAUUCCGGCUCGUGAUUGUUGUUGUUGGGAAAAAAUGUUUUCUUCCCCACGAUCUAGAAUUGGAUUAUUAUUCUCAAUAGCAUGUUUUGUUUGAUACUUCAUCUUUGAGCACUCACCAAAGCUCAUUCAGUUUUGCUUCUUUUUCAUUCAAGUGCAUUGUAUCUUUACGCUUGAUAUUAACUUGCACAGACCUUUACUAAGAUUUUCACCCAACUUUAUAUUUCCACUCACCUGCCACGUUUCUCCAACUAAUUCCCAUCUCACAGAUGCCACCACCAGGUGCAUUUUUGUUUCAUUAUCAGUAUCUUCCUUUGUUUGGCUUCAUGGCAUGUGUUGGCAGUCUGACGCACACACAUGCAGACAACAUGCGCACAUAGUUUUACAUGCGUUUAUUCCCUUGCCAUAAUAGUGCAAAAGACUAGCAUAUGAUGCCUUACACUUGAUCUCUGAACUUCAGGUAAGUUUACCUGUUGACAAAUCUUCACUACUGAUGCUCGUCUUUGCAUGUCCUUUUAAGAAAUUUUGUUGUGGUUUUCAUGUGCUUCUAUGGCAUUGGUCUUCUCGUCAGCUGUUUAUUUCCUGUUAUUUGCAAAAGAUAAGUUGGAGGAGAGCUCAAAGUGCCCUUGUUACUCCUUUGAGGCACACCACUUGAUCCAGUUUCAAGUUGUCAAAAACAUCACAAUUUCAGGACUAGGGAUAGCAAAGCUCCAUGGGAAUAUGCAUAAUGGUCAUUUCUGUGAGGAUGUUCCAAGUGCAAAGAGUGGAAGAUGAGAGGUUUCACGUUGUAUUAACUGAGUAGAGUUGCAAGUUUGAUGAUUACUAGAGUUUAGAUCAACUUCGUAAAUCUUUUGUUGUUGAUUGUAAUUUUUUAUGUUACUUGUAUGCAUAGGGGUCAAGAUUCACUGUCCUUUAUGGCAGUCAACAUAAUAAAAAAAAGUUGUGUGUUAUCCAUAUUAACUUGUUACCCCACUUUAACGUAAAUCAACUUUUUUUUGUUUGGUUCAUAGAAAGAGAUCUGGUAUGCGGCCUAUGGCCCCUUGUGAGUUGACUCGUCAAAGUGAGUUCAUUAUUAUUAUUAUUUUUUGUCAAAGGCAUAAAUAUUUCGAAUCUUUAAUAUGAAUCAGUUGGUUUGGAGUGGUCCUUUUCCAUAGUUUGAGUGUUUUGGUUUGAAGUUGUCCUUUUGCUAUGUUACUUCUCAGAAUAAGGUAGCCACUUAGGACUUGAUCUUCAACUGUAAAUGCUAACUAAAUUGGGAAGUUUGCUUAAUCAAAUUGAUGAUCAAUGUUCAUAUAAUCAUAUAUACCUCGUCUAGAAAUCAAUUUUUUGGAUGUAUUUGAUUCACCGGUCAGAAUGCCUGACAGUUACAAUUGUCCUACUUGAAACAAUACAUUGAACUCUCCAAUCUUGAUUAAUUUGGAAAGCAAAGUUUGAAUUUUGAAAGCAGAUCAAUUGUUCUAGCAUUCUAGUAUGCUUUUUUUUUAAAAAGGAAAAAUUUCUACAGGAUGUGGACACUUUUUUCCCCCUUUCCUUUCUUCUUUUUCAUGGGAGUACUUGUUUAUAAUUUGCUGGUUCUUGUAUAUGGAUUCCAGAUUCUGUGUAUUGCUUGGUGUGUAUCUAUAUUUAUUCUCAUGCUCAUUGGAGUUUGAGUAUGUUAACCAUAGAAUUAAGGCAAGACGGUUAAAUUGAAAAAGUGCAUCUGACAUUUUAUAUGAUAAUAAGAUUCCAUUGAAUCUGAAAGAAAAGUUUUAUAAGACCAAUUUUGUUAUAUGGCACAAAAUUUUGGGUAGUAAAGCACCAACAUGUGCAAAAUAUGAUCAUAAUGGAGAUGAGGAUUUAAGAUGGAUGUGUGUGUGGUCAUACAAGAAAGAAGGUAAAAUUAGAAAUGAGAUUAUUCUUAAUAAGGUUGAAGCGGCUCCUGCUGAGACAAGAUGUAUGAGACAUGAUUAAGAUAAUUUGAUCAUGUUAGAAGAAGACCCAUAGGGGUUUCUAUGGGGAGGGUUGUUGGAAUGGAACAAGUAUUUAACAAAAAAGGUAAGAGGAAAAUCAAGAAAAACUUAGUGGAGAUACUUAGGUAUGAUAUUAUUUACAAGAGUUUUAUUGAAGAUACAACCAUAGAUAAAAAUGAAUGGAGAGCUGGAAUUCAUGUAGCUGACCCCCACAUAGUAAGAUAAAGGCUUUGUAUGGUGUUAUUGUAACUCAUUGGAGUCGAGCUUUUACAAACAUUUACUUCAGGAUUCAAGAAUUACAACUGCAGCAUGUUAUUCUUUAGGCCAGAAUGGUGAUGGAGAAGUAUAGAGUUAUCCUUGUACCAGCUUUGAAUAUUGGUGCAUUCAAACAGACAUAGGUAGAAGGAUGAACGCAUAGACACCGAAGCACCGCAAGUUUGUAAUUGAUGGCAUUCAGUCUUCAUCUACUUGGACUUCUCAAUUCUGUAUUUGACUGUAUGCUCCUUCCACUUUUUGUUCUCCAGGUAAGUCUCAUAGAAGUUCACUUCUCCACCUCUAACUGUCAAUGCAGCUGUGCUUCUAGUCCCAUAAAGUCCCUAUACAUCAUAGAUAGACAAUUAAAUUUAAAGGAAUUUAAAUUGUUUUUUUUUCCUCUUGUUUUUUAACUUGGAAAAUGGAGGAUUGUAGUUGUGAUACCCACCAGUGGUGUGUCAACUUUGACGAAAAUGGGGCUUAAAUUCCACUCCCAAUCAAGGGAACAAAUGCGAGUUGGGUGAAAUUCACUCCCAAGCGUUGUGCCUGUAAGAGAAGAGGAAUUUGAACAGGUUGGUUUAGGAUUUUUGUAGCCGAAGGCUGUCCUGCAGGCUGCAGUCCUCAGUGAAGAUAACUAUCUUUCCUCACCUUAUGCCAAGGGGAGUUGAGUUUUGCAUUGGAAAGCACAUGGAUGCCGGGAGGGACGUCCUGAAUCUCAGAAGGCUCCCCUUUUGGGGUGUUGGACACAUAAACCAUGGUGUUGGAGGAAAGAUCGGCAGUUAUGAGGUUAAAUCCAUUGUAGUGGUGAGCUUCUUUGGCGACUUCCUCAGCAAAUUCAUGGGGACUCUUUGUGCUCUGCAACCAUUCAAAAUGGUAUCAAACCAUUUAGCAAUAUCUGCCCGUGUAAUGGGCAACAAAUGAAGAGUGAAAGACUAGUGUUGGUUGGUACCUGCAAGAAACGACGAGGGAGGUCACCUCUGCUUUUGGCCUGUGGAAUAGUAUGGAGCUCCAAGACAUUUGUGAGGAAAGCCACUCUGCCAGCUCUCGAACAAGCCAGCCAUGUCCCGCCAGCAACCUCGUCUUGCCCCCCCAGUAUCUCGCCUCCUUCCCACCAUCCCACAGCUUUUGUAGGCCUGGAAAACACAAGCACCCAUUGUUAGUGUCUGCGAGUAUGUGAAAGAGAAAGCAAAAGGCGCUUCACCUGUUGUGGUAUUCAUCUCUGUUGAGCAAGAGGAGGAGUGGGUACUCAGGGUGAGCUUGCCAAACAAACACAACAAUGCACAUUCUAUUCUGAUUAAUCUCUGGUGUCAGGCAGUGAACUUUCUGAGCUGCUGCUCAAGAAGCACCGAAUUUGGAUAAUGAUACGUUAGAAGAUGUCUAUGAAUCUCAUUUUUCAGAGUAUUUAUAGACACAUCUUAGGAGAAUUAAUGAAUACUGUGAGCUUGGGUCAAAACAUGUGGGUGCUGGCUAAAUUUUGUUGUAUGUAAAUUUGGGAUUGUAUCAAGCAUUAAAAUAUAUAUAUAUAUAUAUAGGUUGGCACUCUA